rnacentral:rRNA from 1 species
GACAAACGCUGGCGGCGUGCCUAAUACAUGCCAGUAGAACGCUGAAGGAGGAGCUUGCUUCUCUGGAUGAGUUGCGAACGGGUGAGUAACGCGUAGGUAACCUGCCUGGUAGCGGGGGAUAACUAUUGGAAACGAUAGCUAAUACCGCAUAAGAGUAGAUGUUGCAUGACAUUUGCUUAAAAGGUGCAAUUGCAUCACUACCAGAUGGACCUGCGUUGUAUUAGCUAGUUGGUGAGGUAACGGCUCACCAAGGCAACGAUACAUAGCCGACCUGAGAGGGUGAUCGGCCACACUGGGACUGAGACACGGCCCAGACUCCUACGGGAGGCAGCAGUAGGGAAUCUUCGGCAAUGGACGGAAGUCUGACCGAGCAACGCCGCGUGAGUGAAGAAGGUUUUCGGAUCGUAAAGCUCUGUUGUAAGAGAAGAACGAGUGUGAGAGUGGAAAGUUCACACUGUGACGGUAUCUUACCAGAAAGGGACGGCUAACUACGU